AGAGUUUGAUCCUGGCUCAGAACGAACGCUGGCGGCAGGCUUAACACAUGCAAGUCGAACGCUCGUAGCAAUACGGGAGUGGCAGACGGGUGAGUAACGCGUGGGAACAUACCCUCCGGUUCGGAAUAGCUCAGGGAAACUUGGAUUAAUACCGGAUACGGCUGAGAGGCGAAAGAUUUAUCGCCGGAGGAUUGGCCCGCGUUCGAUUAGCUUGUUGGUGAGGUAACGGCUCACCAAGGCGAUGAUCGAUAGCUGGUCUGAGAGGAUGAUCAGCCACAUUGGGACUGAGACACGGCCCAAACUCCUACGGGAGGCAGCAGUGGGGAAUAUUGGACAAUGGGCGCAAGCCUGAUCCAGCCAUGCCGCGUGAGUGAUGACGGCCUUAGGGUUGUAAAGCUCUUUCGCUCGGGACGAUAAUGACGGUACCGAGAUAAGAAGCCCCGGCUAACUUCGUGCCAGCAGCCGCGGUAAUACGAAGGGGGCUAGCGUUGUUCGGAAUUACUGGGCGUAAAGCGCGUGUAGGCGGGUCUUUAAGUCAGGGGUGAAAUGCCAAGGCUCAACCUUGGAACUGCCUUUGAUACUGGAGAUCUUGAGUCCGGGAGAGGUGAGUGGAAUUGCGAGUGUAGAGGUGAAAUUCGUAGAUAUUCGCAAGAACACCAGUGGCGAAGGCGGCUCACUGGCCCGGAACUGACGCUGAGACGCGAAAGCGUGGGGAGCAAACAGGAUUAGAUACCCUGGUAGUCCACGCUGUAAACGAUGGAUGCUAGCCGUUGGGGAGCUUGCUCUUCAGUGGCGCAGCUAACGCUUUGAGCAUCCCGCCUGGGGAGUACGGUCGCAAGAUUAAAACUUAAAGGAAUUGACGG
rnacentral:rRNA from 2 species